CGGACGGGUGAGUAACGCGUGAAUGACAUGCCCCGCAGAGGGGGAUAGCCCAGGGAAACUUGGAUUAAUACCCCAUGGCAUCGCAGGAUUAAAGGGUGGCCGCAAGGCUGUCGCUGCGGGAUUGGUUCGCGUUCUAUCAGCUUGUUGGCGGGGUAACGGCCCACCAAGGCUACGACGGAUACCUGGUCUGAGAGGACGAUCAGGCACACUGGAACUGAGACACGGUCCAGACACCUACGGGUGGCAGCAGUCGAGAAUAAUUCACAAUGGGGGCAACCCUGAUGGUUCAACGCCGCGUGGAGGAUGAAGGUCUUCGGAUUGUAAACUCCUGUCAUCCGGGAGCAAGACCUGGCCGUUAAUAGCGGACAGGGUUGAUAGUACCGGAAGAGGAAGGGACGGCUAACUUCGUGCCAGCAGCCGCGGUAAUACGAAGGUCCCGAGCGUUGUUCGGAAUCACUGGGCGUAAAGGGAGCGUAGGCGGUGCGGUAAGUCAGAUGUGAAAUCCCGGGGCUCAACCCCGGAACUGCAUCCGAUACUGCCGUGCUUGAGUGAUGGAGAGGUAGCUGGAAUUCACGGUGUAGCAGUGAAAUGCGUGGAUAUCGUGAGGAACACUCGUGGCGAAAGCGAGCUACUGGACAUUUACUGACGCUGAGGCUCGAAGGCCAGGGUAGCGAAAGGGAUUAGAUACCCCUGUAGUC
rnacentral:rRNA from 1 species